ACUUAAGCAUAUCAAUAAGCGGAGGAAAAGAAACCAACAGGGAUUGCCUCAGUAACGGCGAGUGAAGCGGCAACAGCUCAAAUUUGAAAUCUGGCUCUUUCAGGGUCCGAGUUGUAAUUUGUAGAGGAUGCUUCGGGUACGGCUCCGGUCUAAGUUCCUUGGAACAGGACGUCACAGAGGGUGAGAAUCCCGUACGUGACCGGCCUCCACGCCCGUGUGAAGCUCCUUCGACGAGUCGAGUUGUUUGGGAAUGCAGCUCAAAAUGGGUGGUAAAUUUCAUCUAAAGCUAAAUAUUGGCCAGAGACCGAUAGCGCACAAGUAGAGUGAUCGAAAGAUGAAAAGCACUUUGGAAAGAGAGUCAAACAGUACGUGAAAUUGUUGAAAGGGAAGCGCUUGCAACCAGACUUGCCUGCGGGUGAUCAGCUGGUAUUUUUACCGGUGCACUCGCCCGUGGUCAGGCCAGCAUCGGUUUGGGCGGCUGGAUAAAGUCCCCCGGAAUGUAGCUCCUUUCGGGGAGUGUUAUAGCCGGGGGUGCAAUGCUGCCCGCCUGGACCGAGGACCGCGCUUCGGCUUGGAUGCUGGCGUAAUGGUUGUAAGCGACCCGUCUUGAAACACGGACCA
rnacentral:rRNA from 1 species